UGUCUCAGCUUCAGGUAAGGUCAAAUCCUCCUGUGAUCUGGACCUUCAGGUUACCCAGUGAGGAUGCGUGUUUCAGGGGCGAUGUUCCCCCUCUCACACUAUGAGCGCUCACAGUUUUUCAGCUGUCUUACGGAGCCUGCAGUGGCAAGCCGCUUCCUUCAAAGAGUCUGUGGAUUCUCCCUGCUUUCCUGGCAUAUUUCUGCGUUAGCAAAAGGCCAUGAUGUAGGUCUCCAUAUGCUGCUCUGUCCAUUCAAGAGGGAGCUGCUAGUUAGUGCUGCCUCCUAUCCACCAUUUUUUCAACAAUCAUUAUCCUUUAUAUGUAAUCACCCUUUUCUUAGUUACCUCUCUUAAUUCCCCCUAGCUUCCCAAGAAGACUUUCUUGGAUAGCCAUACA
rnacentral:lncRNA from 1 species